UACGGAGGGUGCAAGCGUUGUUCGGAAUUACUGGGCGUAAAGCGCGCGUAGGCGGUUUUAUAAGUCAGAUGUGAAAGCCCAGGGCUUAACCCUGGACGUGCAUUUGAAACUGUGAGACUUGAGUAUUGGAGGGGGUGGUGGAAUUCCCGGUGUAGAGGUGAAAUUCGUAGAUAUCGGGAGGAAUACCAGUGGCGAAGGCGACCACCUGGCCAAAUACUGACGCUCAUGUGCGAAAGCGUGGGGAGCAAACAGG
rnacentral:rRNA from 1 species